AUUAUGGCUCAGGAUGAACGCUAGCGGCAGGCUUAACACAUGCAAGUCGAGGGGCAUCGGGAGUAGCAAUACUUGCCGGCGACCGGCGCAAGGGUGCGUAACGCGUGAGCAACAUGCCCGUAUCAGGGGGAUAAUCCAUGGAAACGUGGUCUAAUACCCCAUAGUAAUUAUGUAAGGCAUCUUAUAUAAUUUAAAGCUUUGGUGGAUACGGAUUGGCUCGCGUGACAUUAGCUGGAUGGUAAGGUAACGGCUUACCAUGGCUACGAUGUCUAGGGGUUCUGAGAGGAAGGUCCCCCACACUGGAACUGAGACACGGUCCAGACUCCUACGGGAGGCAGCAGUGAGGAAUAUUGGACAAUGGAUGGAAAUCUGAUCCAGCCAUGCCGCGUGCAAGGAAGACGGCCCUAUGGGUUGUAAACUGCUUUUGUAUGGGAGCAAUAAGGGCUACGUGUAGUCCGAUGAGAGUACCAUACGAAUAAGCACCGGCUAACUCCGUGCCAGCAGCCGC
rnacentral:rRNA from 1 species